UUUGGUUCCGUCUAAUCAAAUUUUGGUUCCGUCUAAUGUAAUUUUUCGUGACCGUUGAUUAAAUCUGUGAUAAAUUUUCUGUAAGUUCUAUAAUAAUAUGACACUGUAAAAGAGCUUCGGAACGGACGUUUUAAUUAGUGUAAAAAAAAUCAGAAUCAGAUCGCUCCGAUCUGAUACAUCUCGAUAGAGGCUUGUGAUACGUCUGGAAAGAAAAUCAGGAGCGCCCGUCGCCGCCACGCAGCCGCCGCCCCGCCGACGCCACUGCCCCGCAGCCGCCGCCCCGCUGCCCCGCAGCCGACGCCCUGCCGACGCCGCUGCUCCGCAGCCGCCGCCACGUAGCCGCCGCCCCGCCGCCCCCGCCCCGCAGCCGACGCCGCCGUCCUGCAGCCGCCGCCGCCGCCCCUCCCCCGUCGCGAGUCGCCGCCCCGUCGGCCCGUCGCGGGGACUCACGGCCCCGACCUCUCCGUCGCCGCCGCGAGUCGCCGCCCAUCGGCCCGCCUGCCUUCAGCCUAAUCCCAAUGUCGCAGCAAUCUUCUGAUGUACUUCCACUGAAACUCUGCUUCUUGUGUCGUUCAUGCUAAAUUGACAAGUUGACAUGCUGGCUACUCCUGGACCCGUGAGAGAAUGCAUGUUCUUUGAUGUAAUUCUCCCAGAAUCCAAUCUUGAGGCAAGAGGGGAUGAUCCACUCAGUUGGUUUCACUUUAUUGAAGACGUCCUGAACUUUGAUCUGCUGCUGUAUCCUAAAUUUGCAUGUUGGUGAUGUUACUGAAUUUUGCUAUGUUCUAACAAACACAGAUCUCAACGGCGUGAAAGUGUGGAGCCUGGAUGUUCUGAUUGGCAUUCAGAAUUUACUGAUGCAGGCGCCAGCAAGAGUCCUCCAGGCAGCAAGUCCACUGAUAGGUACAAUGCGUGUAGUAGUCGAUCAAGAAGCAGCGAGGAGGAUGUUUCAUAGCACAGAUCGAGGAAGAGAAGUCGCAGUAGUCGUGAUUUGUGAUCGAGGCAGCUGAAUAUCUGGGCAUCUGGCCACUGGCAACUCUGGGUUUUGGACGAUCGAAUGCCGUAUAGAUGGCACUACCUCAUGUAGUAGUCAUUUGGCAGCCUUGUUUUCUACUGCUUUUUCCCCUUUCCUCGUUGCUGAUGAGAGGUUCUUUACUGGAGAGAGCUCUCUUGCGAUGCAGAAGGCUUAUAAUUUUUUUUUUCUAAUCUAGAGUUAUUGAUACUAUAUGGGAAUGAUGCUACGGUGAUGUCAACGCGGGGUGUUAGCCGGACUCUACCUAUGUCUAGAAGGAUAGCCUUUAGCGAAUCAGAUGGAGCAUAAACCUUCUCCUGUCUCAGUAACAUGCUACGGCCCUACGGGGGUACUAGUUUAUAUUUGCGAAUCUGGGAUUGUUUCUCCUCUUACUGACGUAGCUGGUGAUCAUGGACCUGUUGCUGAAACUAGGAUCUAGGAUGGUUGUUAAGCAUAUCAAUUAGCAGAUAUUACUUACACUCUUAACACAUAAGUAUGGAUCAAGGAGUUGUUUUCUUCAA